rnacentral:tmRNA from 1 species
CGAAGCCCCGUGCUUCGUUAAAAACGGGAAAUUGUCUAAAAUAACUGACAACAAUAACUACGCACUCGCCGCUGCAUAAGCAGUGACGACGUCCGCCCGCAUAAACCUACCGAUGCGGAUUCGGGCGUCAUUAGGGUAGGGAACGAACCUGCAUAAGUUUUGCUGCAGGCCGGAUUUUAUGAAACUACCGGAACCGGAAUCCUGUCAAUGGGAGUCCGCGGAUGGGAAUUUUAAAACAUUGACUGCGCUCGGAGAAAGUUGUGUGAUCGGGUUUUCGGACGCGAGUUCGACUCUCGCCGCCUCCACCA